rnacentral:rRNA from 1 species
AGAGUUUGAUCAUGGCUCAGGACGAACGCUGGCGGCGUGCUUAACACAUGCAAGUCGAACGAUGAAGCCCUUCGGGGUGGAUUAGUGGCGAACGGGUGAGUAACACGUGGGCAAUCUGCCCUGCACUCUGGGACAAGCCCUGGAAACGGGGUCUAAUACCGGAUACGAGAACCUUGGGCAUCCUUGGUUCUGUAAAGCUCCGGCGGUGCAGGAUGAGCCCGCGGCCUAUCAGCAUGUUGGUGAGGUAACGGCUCACCAAGGCGACGACGGGUAGCCGGCCUGAGAGGGCGACCGGCCACACUGGGACUGAGACACGGCCCAGACUCCUACGGGAGGCAGCAGUGGGGAAUAUUGCACAAUGGGCGAAAGCCUGAUGCAGCGACGCCGCGUGAGGGAUGACGGCCUUCGGGUUGUAAACCUCUUUCAGCAGGGAAGAAGCGCAAGUGACGGUACCUGCAGAAGAAGCGCCGGCUAACUACGUGCCAGCAGCCGCGGUAAUACGUAGGGCGCAAGCGUUGUCCGGAAUUAUUGGGCGUAAAGAGCUCGUAGGCGGCUUGUCACGUCGGUUGUGAAAGCCAGGGGCUUAACCCCGGGUCUGCAGUCGAUACGGGCAGGCUAGAGUUCGGUAGGGGAGAUCGGAAUUCCUGGUGUAGCGGUGAAAUGCGCAGAUAUCAGGAGGAACACCGGUGGCGAAGGCGGAUCUCUGGGCCGAUACUGACGCUGAGGAGCGAAAGCGUGGGGAGCGAACAGGAUUGGAUACCCUGGUAGUCCACGCCGUAAACGGUGGGCACUAGGUGUGGGCAACAUUCCACGUUGUCCGUGCCGCAGCUAACGCAUUAAGUGCCCCGCCUGGGGAGUACGGCCGCAAGGCUAAAACUCAAAUGAAUUGACGG